UACGUAGGGUGCAAGCGUUGUCCGGAAUCAUUGGGCGUAAAGCGCGCGUAGGUGGUCAUGUAAGUCCGCUGUGAAAGUCAAAGGCUCAACCUUUGAAAGCCGGUGGAUACUGCAUGACUAGAGUACGGAAGAGGCGAGUGGAAUUCCUGGUGUAGCGGUGGAAUGCGCAGAUAUCAGGAGGAACACCAAUAGCGAAGGCAGCUCGCUGGGACGUUACUGACACUGAGGCGCGAAAGCGUGGGGGAGCGAACAGG
rnacentral:rRNA from 1 species